ACGCUCGACACCUACGGGAGACAGCAGUGGGGAAUAUUGCACAAUGGGGGAAACCCUGAUGCAGCGACGCCGCGUGAGCGAAGAAGUAUUUCGGUAUGUAAAGCUCUAUCAGCAGGGAAGAAAGUGACGGUACCUGACUAAGAAGCCCCGGCUAACUACGUGCCAGCAGCCGCGGUAAUCUGAGCGGGCUGGCAAGGC
rnacentral:rRNA from 1 species